CUUUGUGGAUUCCAAUAACCCUUGCAAAGAUCUACUUUUUCCACAUGGUCCUAAUCUGGUGCAAAAAUCUUUGUAUAUAGUAGGGACCGUCCUUAUUAGAAACACGAUUGUUAACCAGUGAGUGUGCGUAGUGUUUGUGGGCUAUUUUUUAACAUGCUUUAUAAAAGGGGUCUUUAGAGUGCUGGCCACUGAGAAGAAAUUUUCGAAUCUGAGAUUUUUGCUCAAUAAUAAAGUUUGAACCUCACCUAAAAACUCUGUCGACUAAAAACUCUGUCAAGACUAAGGGUAAAAUGCAGACUGCAGAAUGCAGAGCGAACCGCAAAAAGGCUAACCGGAACGGUUAUUAAGGCUAACAUGAGUGAUAUUUAAGCUAACCAGAGUGCAGACUUUCACUCCGAUUGCUAAAAUGUGGCAUUAAUAACCCUGUUUUACGAUUAGAACUCAAUAAUGGAAAUAACACGAUAUAUAUUUAAAAAGUAUGCAGUAUGCAGUCUUCAUUUUACCCCCAGUCUGCAUUUUACUCGUGGUCUGCAGUCCACAACUCUUUGGCUACCUCCAACGUCUGUAAUGUGUAUUUUCUGUCAAGGAUGGACAAAACAUUAUCAGGGUGAAAACUAGUAGGUCACGACAAUAUGAAGAACAUACUUGAACAAAUCAGCUGAAAACAAGAAAAAACUACUGCGUUUCCUGCGUGUAUGCGACCAGCCUAGUCAGUAAGGUCCUUUCUAGAGCUCACGUACCGCGAAAAGUCGAUUUCGGCAGCUCAGAACAGCACUCUCCGUUACAUGUAAGUUUUUUUUUUCUUAGAUGUUUUGAAAAUUCACAUCGUUUAGUUUUCGGCUACCGUUAUAAUUUAGCUUUUAACAUUCAAGUUGCGUGUACAGCUUGCGUUGAAUGAAAAAGAAAAUUCUGGCCAGUAAGUUAAAGGAUUCUAACCAAAGCGCUUUUGCUGGUUGGGUACUUGCUCUUAGUAAUUUUUCAGUUGCGAUAUUAUAAUACGCGUUCAAUUAAAGAAAGAUUUUGAUUCGAUAUUCACAAGAAGGGCGCGAAAUAUUAAAAAGUCAGUGCAACAGAAAGUGAAAAGCAGUCCACGACAAGCCAAAUUUUAAUUCGGAAAGUGUUCGUUUUAUUUCCGCUUCCGAACAUAACUCGAAGAGACGAUUUGACGCAGUACGUGUCCACGGCAAAUGAAAUCAAACAUGGCGGCCUGACAGCGGAAACGAGCGGUGGGUCUACGGUGGCCGUUUAUUGUUGGCUCGAGGAAAUUCUGCACAGAGAGGGCCAAUUAGCAAAGCAGAAUCGAUGAAGAUAAAGGGAACAAGAGAUGACUAGAGCUUAUAGCUCGUCGGAGGCAACGCUCCACGGAUGACUUGUUCACAAUGUAUUCAGUUCAAGCCAUUUUUGGUUGAUUAAUGGAUAUGCUGUCAUGGGACGUGACCAAGGUGCAUGGGACCUUUUUUGUCUUACGGUGAAGUUUACAUAACACGUAGUCGAAGGUAAGCUAAAUUUGUUUCUCAUUUUAUUCUCUUUUUUUUUACUCUCAAUACUGCACAACCGCAAUAUUAUAAAACACGUAAUGUUUCAGCCAGGCUGGUACGGUUUAUACAUGCUCUGCAAAUUAUCGCACACACAUGCUAACUUAACUUACUUUGUUAAUCUAAAUUAGCGACCGCAUAUGGGAUUGGAAUUUACUUUGCUUAUACUAGGUUGUACUAGUAAACAACUAAGAUAUUACCAAAGAAGCAAUGACAGCAAAUACAGACCAGUAAAAAUAAGGAUCAAGUGCUCUUAGCUUUCCGUUACUUUGGUUGUCGCGCAAAGUAACGGAACGCUUUGAUACUAGCUACAAAGAAUUGAAAAGGAGACUAAAAUGCCCUAGAAUGACUUUUUGAUGAGAAUGCCAGUACCUUACAAUUCAAGGAAUGUUUGGAAAUUUGCCAGAAUGUGGCAUUUUUGCCUUGCUGUCUUUUCUGACACUCAUUUUUCACGGUGGCAAGUGACUAUGAUUAUCAGUUGAGUUAGGCGUGAUGGAGCUUUGGUGAAAAAAAAUGCUGUAGCUAUGGGCAACUUACCUCGUUUCCAAUGGUAACAAAUAUAUUGCCUCCUGCAAUUUCGGGUGCUUUGCUGCCAAUGACAUCAAAGGCCGACAAGUUACCAGUGGAAAUGCAGCCUGUUGCCCGUGACAACAACACAAGUUGAACGUUAAAACCUGGUCACCAAACUUUCGUCGCAUCUUACAAUUACUGAUUGUGGCAAGUUGUCUUUGGUGUUAGCCUCCUGAUUCUGCAUGAACAAUAUUGAGCUGUAGCUCCUGCAUGACUGAAAGUUUGUUACCCAAGCCAAUCAGGCAAAGCAUGAAAAACACUCAGAUGUGACAUCAGCUUUCUUAUUAUGUCAUGUCACUAAGUAACCACUCACAACAGUUCCAAGCAUUUCCCAGCCCUUUUUUAGGUAUCAAAACUUCCACUCUCUUUCAAUCAAUGCCAUAUAAUUUUCAUGUAAUGAAAUCAGUGGUCAAUGCAAAGGGUUAAUUAGAUUAUCAUAGCAUUAGCAAAACACCCUUAAUUUUGCAUUUAAACCAGUUUGGCGACACUCCCCCCCCCCAUUUUUUUUUUCGCUAAAAUACUAUUUUUUAAGAGAGAUCACAUCUGCUUUAAUUUUCUGAACAUUUUAAGAUGGUUCUUGAAUGAUCUUGGCUGAUUACAACUCUAUCAUAAAAAAUGGGGUUACAAACCUCGUUUUUUAAUUAAAAACACUCUAAGGUAAAAUUAAGGAUAUUUUUGAACACGUCAUACAGUUGCCUUGGUAACUUGAAAUGGCAAGGAAUUGAUCAUAACUCGUCACCAAUGUUUGGUUCUUUGUUUAAUGCCAUUGUUGUAGCAUUAACUGAGAAAGUACCGCAGCACUGACUCAUCAAAAUCAUCAAAAAAGAAGCGCUAAAAAUGCUUGAAACUUCUAUGAGCCACCUGAACUAAGUCUCCUUUGCAGACGUUAUUUGGGUCUGAAACACUAAAGACCUAAAAGAAACACUGCAGGAGGCCUGUAAUGAUCCUACGAAGAUCUGAUAAUAUGUAACAGUAUAUCAAUACUAUGUAUGCUGUUUUAGGAGUCAAAUCUUAUGAUUAUAAAUUGCUUCAAGCCAUUCCAAACUCACCUUAAUAUAUCACUCAGGUUAUUUGAAAUAAGCUUUUCAAGACUUUCAGAAGUUAUGUUAUCGCGGCUUAACAUGUUAAGUUGCAAUAGCGGUAUUUUUAAUACGAGAUCGAUGACUGCGCCUUCAUUUGUUCUCAUUUGGUACAGAUGGUUGAAACAGAUGUAGUCUGAAAUUGAAAAGAGCACUAGAAUUGACUGAACUAACAUCACAAGCUAAAACAACAUUAAGUAAAACCAUCAACGGGAGCGCGAUGGAAAUCCAUCUGGCAUAGCGUAAUGGAUCAGUCAUCAGUCGCAAAGUUGUCAGAGUGGGGACUGAGGCUGGGGGGUGGAGAUGGAGGAGUGGCGAGGGAGGGACUCGAAACUUUUGUUUAUCUUGUGUGUUGUUUCAGAAAACAGUAGUCAUUGAACAAUAAACAGAGUCCAAGAGGCGUGAAAGAGAACGUGACCGUGUUCAAUUAUAUAACAAAGCGUACAUAACGUGAUCGUGAGAACCAUGACAGUGCAGGAAAACCAGUAAAACCCGAAUGCCAAAGAAGUUGGCGAGUAACCGGCUGCAUUCUCGCAGAAAUUAAAACUUCUCUCACAAUCGGUUUAGGUUACCGAAACGUCUGAUUAAUUUGACUCUUGUAAUAACAUCUCCUGGGGUUUUGCAAUUGUUCAAAUACCUCUUAAGUGGAACGAUGUUUUGCGUGCACUACGACGUUUUCAAGUCUUUUAUCGGACCACCAUUCGCUAACCUCCAGUCACCUCUUAGUGGCCCGGAAGCAACUUAUUGAAAAUGAAUUCUUGUUAAUUAACUAUUUCCGCUGAAGGAAUAAUUGAUCUUCAUUGCCAAGUUCAUCGGCUUGUUGCCAGUAUAUUUACAUGUUUCAUCUCUGUUCAGUACUCGAAUUUGACUUAAGUUUAGAUAAGGAGCUUCCUUUGACAAACACGUACGGCUAGGUAAACGAUGGAUUCCUCUGAGCAAAGAAUUCCAAAGAAGUGGUUUUCGAUGUUCGUUCCUCUCCCGUAAGAUAUGUUACUCUGAAUUCAGUUUGUCUCAGCCCCGACCCAGCAGAUGAUCCUGGUGUGUAGAUGAGUAAGGGCUACCUCUUAGAAUAGGGCCAUGUAGGGGUGGGUGUGGAGUGGCAAGAGGGAGAAGUAAGGGGCUACUUGCAAUGGACUAAUUCGAUCCCAUCCCCCCAUAUAGAGUAACAAUUCUGCUAGUUAGUGUUUGCUAUAAAACGCGGGAUUAACUCUAGUUGCGCCGUUCAUUUGGCCGUGAAUUGAGUUGCCCUAUUCAAUACUGACCGUCUAACGCAAUGUUAGAACAGGUCAUGGGCUCCUGUGAUGGAAGGUUUGGUUGAAUUUCAAGAAAAGUUUCCUACUGUGUAAUAGUUUCCUUAUUUGUUUCGAUAUUGAUGCCAUUAUGUCAUUAUUGGUAUCGCGCGCCUAAAAUUACUUGGUUACUACUGUUUGGUGUAAGGGGUUGAUGAGUGUGGAAACAAAGGUCGUCAAGAAAACUCAACAGUACUGCAAGCAUCUUUAUAUUUUCGUUUGCAAAGAAGCUAUGUUUGCUUGUCUCGUGCCGAUCCUGUGUUCGAAGGCUAAUGAAAACCGUCACGUUUGAACUUCUAGUUCUAAGGUUAGUUCAACAGUCCAAAGUAAAAUUCAGUCCUCGUUGAUUAGCAUUGAAUAGUUUGCCUCGUGCCCGCCUUGUGGGUGAUUGUGAGCCAAAUUCAGCCUCAAGUUUCAAGUUGCAGAGUCCUGUGCGCGUAAAGACCGACUAACUGACUUCUAAUACUUCACUGGGAAAAGCCGGCAAUUCCCAAGUUUCGACAUUGACGCACUGAAUAGAUGUACUGUACACUUUUUUUGGUAGGGUUUUACGAAUCUGGCAAUAGGUCAAGAAAACAUUCCUUAUGGUUAAUUCUUUUUUUUUUUUUGUCUCACUAUAGUCACGAGAGGUCACAUUUGUUUGGAACGCCUGAUCACACCAGAUAUUGCUUUCUAGAAUGUGAUAAAAACCUGCAGUUUAAUUUUAUGUUUGUACAAUUUAACUUGGAACUCUCAUAAUAAGAUAAUAUUAAUUUCUGUUGUUUUCAGAUGGACAAGAAAAAUGUCGUUUUAGGACCAAAAAAGGCCAGCUCUUGAAUUUUCGUACAGGCAACGACAGUUGGUAAAUUUGGCAUAUAAGAUUUCGUAACCACAAAAAUUCCGUUGGGUAAAGAAUUCAACAUCACUGUGUCAGGUUAUACAGAUAUUCCCUAUACCAAGGCUUGAACGAUAUUGGAAAACGGAACCAUGGCAUCCCAAAUCUUAUAUUUUGUUCUUUUUUAUAAUUAUGUCAUUUGUUGUCCAAGUAAAGGGAGCCGAGAAAACAUUGCAUUGACUGUGGUUCUGACUGAAUUAUUGCGUCGGGGGGAAACUCUCUAAAGUGUUUGGUGGAGGUGUGCGGCCCGAACCUUGAAACCUGCACCCUAUUAAUGACCAAACUCUCUGAUUGUCCAUGAGCCAAGAAUCGGUACGCUAUUUCAAUUAGUACACGACUUCAAAAUAUUACCGCAGCUAACCAGAAAUGGCUUCUAUUUCUGUAAACAUUUGAGAGGGGCUAUAAAUAUGCCACUGUUAAUGGGAAAAAAAUAGUUCUUUGUAAACAAGAUAUCCAAUGCCAAACGAGAGUGAAAAGCACACGAUAUUUCAGACUAAAAUGAUCUAUACCCUUUUUUCGGACCAAAAUAUACCAAAAACUAUACUCUUUGGGGCUGUACAUACCUAUAUAACCCAUAUAAGAGAGAAUCCCCGGGACGACGGUCAACCAACAAUUUGAUGUUAAGGAAUGGCAUCAAAUAAAUGAAGAGCGAAUGUGGAGUUCAGAGAGCGCUUCCAUGCAUGGUUAUAUUGAAGUGAAUAUCCCCAAGAUUUCACUGCUAUAUUCUCAACACAAGUAUACUUGACUGUGUAUCGAUGUUGCUAGGAGAACUAAGUUGCUGACCACUUCCGUCAGAAUCAGCCCAGUAACGUUUUGCGUUCAUUCCGUUGGCUACCUGACAGAGAACUUACUGAGUCAUCUUUUGCGUUUAAAUCGAUUUUCAUUUGUUUCCUUGUUAUGGCACUUUCUUCAUUUUUGCUCGGAAAGCUGAUAUCAAUAAUUUUUUAUCCACUUUCAAAACCGGACGGUGUAGGCGUUCUGUAGUUGACGAAUUUCCGUUGUCAGUCAAGGUUAAUAGGUACGGGUUUCCACAGGUCAUGUGCUUUGAAAAUUUGAUUUCCUGGAUUACAAGACCUACAGGCACGAUCCAUGGCAAUUAGAGAUAUUUUGAGAUAAAUAAGAUGCUAAACGCGCUCCGAUUGGUUAAAAGCCAAUUACAGUACCAUCUCUGAGAACUGACAUAUAUUUCAACCGUUCAUUUCAUUCAAAGAAACGAGGAAAAUGUCAGUGCUAGUUUCCAUUGUAGAGUUAUAUAAACACUCGUGAUUUGUUUUGAAGAACUCAGAAAUAUAAGAUAGAUGUAAGAGGUGACCACAGCUUUUGUUCCUCUCGGAAUACUGUCUGUUUAUAUUACCCUGUGAGUAUACCGCAACUCUUAAGACAGAAAAACGUUUAAAAUAUUUCCUCAGACUUGAAAACAACGACGUCUUUAAUUAUAUAAAUCGUCACUAACGGGCGACGAGAAACAUCUACAAACGUCCUGUUCGUUUGAAACCAGGCUGGACACUUUUAAUUCGCGUCACACAUGGUUUUGUCACUCCAUUGCAUUCAAUCCAUCCAGGCGCGUGAUAUCACCAUAAAAAUUUUCAAUAACUGUACGCUACACGUUUAUUCUAGUUCUUGUUGGGAGAAUUUAUAAAUCUGUCAAAGGGACUUAAAAUUAAAGCGCUAAAUUUAACGUUGCAUUAACGAUGUACUCCUCCGGUUAGGAAGUUCCAAACUGAAGUCGAAGAAAAAAAUUAGUGAAAACACGAAAAGAAUAGAAUGUAAACUGCAAAUAAGCGGACUAAGGCUUUUUAAGGUGAUGGAAGCCUGGUUUCCGUCAGAAAUCACGUUCUGGAGAUGAUUGUAGUGAACCUUUAAACUGAUUAUUUCACUUCUUCUCUAAUUGUCUUUCCUGUAUUAGUGCGGGAUAGGAAAUUGAAAUCCGGUUAACCUUGAAACUUACUCUGACAAACGCUA